GACGCUGAAGUUUUGGGUUGGAGCCAAGGUUACUGCAGCCACAACGCGGAGUGCUAACCUUGCUGGCAGAUGCUGAGUUUCCUUUAAUAUUUUCGAGGUUUGAAAUUUUUCAAAGUACAUAAUUGUAGGGGAAAAUGAUUGUAAAAUACAGCAGACUGUGAAGAGCUAGCUGAGUCCUGGACUAAAAAUUGGCUGUCUAUGGGUGUCCCCCUUGCAGGAGGGUGUGACAGUCCUCAAUACCAUGCAUUGGUACAAGAAAAUGUAAGUCACUAGUCUGCUGUACAAAUUCAUCUAAAGGAUCCCUUCCUGCCACCCAGGAUUUGUCCUUCCUACGUGAAUCAGCCUUCUGGCCUGGAAAUCUGAUAUCUGGAAUUUAAAGAGUCAUCAAGUCACUGAUUCACAUGCUGGAGCUUGGGCUGACGGCUGAGCAGUGUCUCACGAUGGAGUGAGGAUCAAGAAAUGAAAGUCAGGAAAGGAGAGAAACUGCAGGCCCAGCAGACACUCUGGUGGUGGGGGACGCAUUGGAAGCCCAAUAAAGGGGAAGAUUUGUGUGGAGGAGUCAGCAUGGACAUGAGGGAAGCUGCAGAGAGGGGGCCUCAGACCUUUCUGUGGAGCUAGGCCCUAGACUUUGCUGGUCUUGGUAAAAUUAGGGACAAGGAUGAACCCCAAGUGGAAAGCAGCAUGUACAAGAAAGUCACUUUUAGGGGGCCGGCCUGGUGGCGCAAGUGGUUAAGUGCGCGCGCUCCACUGCGGCGGCCUGGGGUUCGCCGGUUCCGAUCCUGGGUGCACACCAACACACCGCUUGUCAAGCCAUGCUGUGGUGGCGUCCCAUAUAAAGUAGAGGAAGAUGGGCAUGGAUGUUAGCCCGGAGCCAGUCUUCCUCAGCAAAAAGAGGAGGAUUGGCAGAUGUUAGCUCAGGGCCAAUCUUCCUCACACACAAAAAAAGUCAUUUUUAUCACCCUUGUUUAUUUUAUACUCCACCAGGCCAGACUUUUGGUUGAGGGCUCAUUUUUAAUGCUUAUGGGUAAGCAACAUUGGGAGGAGGCCAUGACAAUCAUUGGCUCUGGAGAUUUGGAGGAGGAAGCUCUGGAAAAGGAAACCCUUGUUUUCAUCAACUCUUUUCCUCAGCAAAGCUUAUGUGUGUCCCAGAUAUCACAUUGAAGCUACCACAUUGGUGGACUGAAUGAGUGCUGCUGAUAAUUUCUUUCUUGAAGGGGCAACAAUGAUUGAUCCAGGGUUAUGGGAAUGAGAUGCAAGAGCAGAACUUAAAAUACUUUUCUCUGUCUUAUCUCCUCUCUGUUACCUCUGAAUAUCAACUUUUCACACACACCGGUUCAAGAUAGCCUUGAGUCUCUACUGAGAGUUACAAUUUUUUCAUAGGUUCUAGAACCACGUUUCCCUCUUGUUUCUACAAUUCUUUUAGAGGAAGCUGGAUUUCGAGGAAGCCAGUCAGUAGCCUAGACUUGUUCAACAUCCUAUAUUAUUUGAAUUUUCUUAGCUGUCAAUAAAUAUCAUAUAAUGCUCAGUUUUAUUUUAUUUCAUUUUUCCUGAAUACUUCUCACAUUGAGUUCUCCAUCCUUCUGCUCACAUUUCCUCUGAUUGCUCUCUAAGUUAACUUUAUAUCUGUCAUCCUAUGGUUUCUCUACUCCUCUCGAUUGUGGUGGAUGUCUGUGUUUUAGAUUUUAUGUCUUUCUCCUCCUUGAUUUUUCACUCUCAUUUUACUGGAAGCUAAUGUUCCUAAUACACCUUCACACGUUUGAUCGUUUGUGUAUAAAAUUCUAGUUUAAAAGCAGUUUUCCUUAAUUUUUUCUUGCUUUAAUGUUGUUUUAAGAGCUUCCAUGACAUUCUGAGAAUCC